GAUGAACGCUAGCGGCAGGCUUAACACAUGCAAGUCGAGGGGUAUAGGUUUUCGGACCUAGAGACCGGCGCACGGGUGCGUAACGCGUAUGCAAUCUACCUUCCACAGAGGGAUAGCCCAGAGAAAUUUGGAUUAAUACCUCAUAGUAUAGCAGUUUCGCAUGAAACCACUAUUAAAGUUCCAACGGUGAAAGAUGAGCAUGCGUCCCAUUAGCUAGAUGGUAAGGUAACGGCUUACCAUGGCUACGAUGGGUAGGGGUCCUGAGAGGGAGAUCCCCCACACUGGUACUGAGACACGGACCAGACUCCUACGGGAGGCAGCAGUGAGGAAUAUUGGUCAAUGGACGCAAGUCUGAACCAGCCAUGCCGCGUGCAGGAUGACGGUCCUAUGGAUUGUAAAUUGCUUUUGUACGAGAAGAAACAACAUUACGUGUAAUGUCUUGACGGUAUCGUAAGAAUAAGGAUCGGCUAACUCCGUGCCAGCCGCCGCGGUAAGAC
rnacentral:rRNA from 1 species